GGGCCCGUGGUCUAGCCUGGUUAUGACGUCGCCCUCACACGGCGAAGGUCCGGGGUUCGAAUCCCCGCGGGCCCACCA
rnacentral:tRNA from 2 species